AGAACAGUGAGUGCAAAGGCCCCGAGAUGCUUAGAGAAAGGCAAAGAGUGUGGAUGGAAGUUUGCAAGAAGAAAAAAUGCAUCUGGCCCAUAUAAGUAACACUCCUAAUUAAACCACUUGGCAACAAAUUCACCAACUGCUUGUUAAGCUGAUGGGGACACAUGAUCAAUAAGAAUGCUGGCAUGUUGUUCCAGACAACCACAUUGGCACAUGAUGGCUGCAUCUUCAAACAUUCAAGGAAGAAAGAAGAGAUCACCUUACCUUGAGCAAAAUCCUUCCCAAAAGUGUACCUAGCAGAUUUCCCCUCCUGUCUCAUUGACCAGAACUCACUAGAACUGGGUCACUCCAAACAUUAACAAAGAAGAAUGGAAUUACACUCCUGGUUUAUAUCAACUGUGGUUAGUGCUGUGGUCUGGAGGGAGAGUCUACCUUCUUUGAAUUGAGUAUGCUGCUGCUAGAAAAAACUCAAGGUCCUUUAAAUUGAUAUAUAAAGUAUAAAAAAUGGGGAAAUUAUAAUAGAUAGGCAACCAAUCAUAUCUUCCUUGGU